rnacentral:rRNA from 1 species
GACCCCCUGGCCGAAUUGGCUCAUUACAUAAGUCUUGGUUUAUUACCAUUCAUUUCGCAUCAAAUGGAUAACUGUGGAAAAUCUAGAGCUAAUACAUGCCGCGAAACUUCGACUUGCGAAGGAGUGCUUUUAUUAGAUCAAAGCCAAUGGCCCACUUGUGGGUCUUAUACUGUGCUGAUUCUGAAUAAAGUAAGCUGAUUGCAUUGCCAUUGAGUAGGUGACGUAUCUUUCAAGUGUCUUCCCUAUCAACUUUCGUUGGUACUUUAUAUGACUACCAUGGUCGUAACGGGUGACGGGGAAUCAGGGUUCGAUUCCGGAGAGAGAGCAUGAGAAACGGCUGUCACAUCCAAGGAAGGCAGCAGGCGCGCAAAUUACCCAAUCCUAGAUCGGGGAGGUAGUGACGAAAAAUAACGAUGCCGUGAUCUUAGGAUUCGGCAAUUGGAAUGAGAACAAUCAAAAUCCUUUAUCGAGGAUCAAUUGGAGGGCAAGUUCUGGUGCCAGCAGCCGCGGUAAUUCCAGCUCGAAUAGCGUAUAUUAAAUUUGCUGCGGUUAAAAAGCUCGUAGUUGGUUGUCAGGAGAUGAACUAGGGGCUACCAAAAUUGUGUAGUCAUACCCGAGAUUCGCUCCUUUAAAUACCACUCCUAUGUGACGCACUUUGAUGUGUGCUGCGUAUGGAUGGUAUGAUACUACUUUGAGAAAAUUAGCGUGCUCAACGCAGGCGAUUCGCUUGUAUACUGUUGCAUGGAAAUAAUGAGAAAGGACCUCGGUUCUGUUUCGUUGGUUUCCGGAAGCUGAGGUAAUGAUUGAUAGGGACAACCGGGGGGCAUUCGUAUUGUGUGUUAGAGGUGAAAAUUCUGUGAUCACCGCAGACGAACACUGCGAAGCAAUUUGCCAAGAAUGUUUUUUCCAUUUAAUUCAAGGAACCGA